CAGGGAGUAUUGCUACAAACUGAUGAGAGUGGCGCACGGGUGCGUAACGCGUGAGCAACCUGCCCCAUCAGGGGGAUAGCCUCUCGAAAGAGAGAUUAACACCGCAUAACAUCAUUUACCGGCAUGUUUUUGAUCAAAUAUUUAUAGGAUAUGGAUGGGCUCGCGUGACAUUAGCUAGUUGGAGGUAACGGCUCACCAAGGCUACGAUGUCUAGGGGCUCUGAGAGGAGAAUCCCCCACACGUACUGAGACACGGACCAGACUCCUACGGGAGGCAGCAGUAAGGAAUAUUGGUCAAUGGGCAACUCUGAACCAGCCAUGCCGCGUGCAGGAUGACUGCCCUAUGGGUUGUAAACUGUUUGUCAGGGAAUAAACCUUUCUACGUGUAGGAAGCUGAAUGUACCUGAAGAAUAAGGCGGCUAACUCCGUGCCAGCAGCCGCGGUAAUACGGAGGAUCCAAGCGUUAUCCGGAUUUUGGGUUUAAAGGGUGCGUAGGCGGUCCUAUAAGUCAGUGGUGAAAGACGGCAGCUUAUGUCGCAGUGCCUUUGAUACUGUAGGACUUGAAUCUAUUUGAAGUGGGCGGAAUAAGAAGUAGCGGUGAAAUGCAUAGAUAUGUCUUAGAACUCCGAUUGCGAAGGCAGCUCACUAUUAGUAUUGACGCUGAUGCACGAAAGCGUGGGGAUCAAACAGGAUUAGAUACCCUGGUUCCACGCCCUAAACGAUGAUAACUCGAUGUUUGCGAUACACAGUAAGCGUCCAAGCGA
rnacentral:rRNA from 1 species